AUUGAACGCUGGCGGCAGGCCUAACACAUGCAAGUCGAGCGAGCGGCGGACGGGUGAGUAAUGUCUGUGAAACUGCCUGAUGGAGGGGGAUAACUACUGGAAACGGUAGCUAAUACCGCAUACCAUCAGAUGUGCCCAGAUGGGUGUAGCUAGUAGGUGGGGUAACGGCUCACCUAGGCGACGAUCCCUAGCUGGUCUGAGAGGAUGACCAGCCAAACUGGAACUGAGAAACGGUACAGAGUCGUACGGGAGGCAGAAGAGGGGAAUAUUGCACAAUGGGGGCAAGCCUGAUGCAGCCAUGCCGCGUGUGUGAAGAAGGCCUUCGGGUUGUAAAGCACUUUCAGCGGGGAGGCGUUAACCGCAGAAGAAGCACCGGCUAACUACGUGCCAGCAGCCGCGGUAAUUC
rnacentral:rRNA from 1 species